rnacentral:tRNA from 1 species
CCUUCGAUAGCUCAGUUGGUAGAGCGGUGGACUGUAGUUGGUUAUCCAUCAGAAAUCCAUAGGUCGCUGGUUCGAAUCCGGCUCGAAGGA